ACGGUGGUGCAGUUGGUAGCACUGUUGCCUUGCAGGACGACGGUCCUGGGUUCGAAUUCCAUGCAGGGGUC